rnacentral:tRNA from 1 species
GCAUUAAUGGGGUAGUGGUAACCUGGGUCGUUGCCAUCAGUCAGAUAUCGACCCGCCGGGGGUUCGAUUCCCCCCUAAUGCA